rnacentral:rRNA from 1 species
CUCCGGGUGAUCCCGCCGACCCCGACUGCUAUCAGAGUGGGACUAAGCCAUGCGAGUCAACAUAGCAAUAUGUGGCAUACGGCUCAGUAACACGUAGUCAACAUGCCCAGGGGACGUGGAUAACCUCGGGAAACUGAGGAUAAACCGCGAUAGGUCAUCACUUCUGGAAUGGGUAAUGACUUAAAUCUAUAUGGCCCCUGGAUUGGACUGCGGCCGAUCAGGCUGUUGGUGAGGUAAUGGCCCACCAAACCUGUAACCGGUACGGGCUCUGAGAGGAGGAGCCCGGAGAUGGGCACUGAGACAAGGGCCCAGGCCCUAUGGGGCGCAGCAGGCGCGAAACCUCUGCAAUAGGCGAAAGCUUGACAGGGUUACUCUGAGUGAUUUCCGUUAAGGAGAUCUUUUGGCACCUCUAAAAAUGGUGCAGAAUAAGGGGUGGGCAAGUCUGGUGUCAGCCGCCGCGGUAAUACCAGCACCCCGAGUGGUCGGGACGUUUAUUGGGCCUAAAGCAUCCGUAGCCGGUUCUACAAGUCUUCCGUUAAAUCCACCUGCUUAACAGAUGGGCUGCGGAAGAUACUAUAGAGCUAGGAGGCGGGAGAGGCAAGCGGUACUCGAUGGGUAGGGGUAAAAUCCGUUGAUCCAUUGAAGACCACCAGUGGCGAAGGCGGCUUGCCAGAACGCGCUCGACGGUGAGGGAUGAAAGCUGGGGGAGCAAACCGGAUUAGAUACCCGGGUAGUCCCAGCUGUAAACGAUGCAGACUCGGUGAUGAGUUGGCUUAUUGCUAACUCAGUGCCGCAGGGAAGCCGUUAAGUUUGCCGCCUGGGGAGUACGGUCGCAAGACUGAAACUUAAAGGAAUGGCGGGGGAGCA